GGAGGAUUGGCCGAGUGGCAAGGCACUGGCCCUGCACUGCGCUCCACCAGAGGCAGGCCACGGUCGGGCUGAACGGCCCGCGCACGUUCGAUCCGUGCAUCCUCCG
rnacentral:tRNA from 1 species